GACGAACGCUGGCGGCGUGCUUAACACAUGCAAGUCGAGCGGUAAGGCCCUUCGGGGUACACGAGCGGCGAACGGGUGAGUAACACGUGGGUGAUCUGCCUCGCACUUCGGGAUAAGCCUGGGAAACUGGGUCUAAUACCGGAUAUGACUUCCAGCUGCAUGGUUGGUGGUGGAAAGAUUUAUCGGUGCGAGAUGGGCCCGCGGCCUAUCAGCUUGUUGGUGGGGUAAUGGCCUACCAAGGCGACGACGGGUAGCCGGCCUGAGAGGGCGACCGGCCACACUGGGACUGAGACACGGCCCAGACUCCUACGGGAGGCAGCAGUGGGGAAUAUUGCACAAUGGGCGAAAGCCUGAUGCAGCGACGCCGCGUGAGGGAUGACGGCCUUCGGGUUGUAAACCUCUUUCGACAGGGACGAAGCGCAAGUGACGGUACCUGUAGAAGAAGCACCGGCCAACUAC
rnacentral:rRNA from 1 species